rnacentral:tRNA from 1 species
AGGGGCAUAGUACAACGGCUAGUAUAAGGGUCUCCAAAACCCUAGAUCGUGGUUCGACUCCACGUGCCCCUGCCA